rnacentral:rRNA from 1 species
GAUGAACGCUGGCGGCGUGCCUAAUACAUGCAAGUCGAGCGAACAGACGAGGAGCUUGCUCCUCUGACGUUAGCGGCGGACGGGUGAGUAACACGUGGAUAACCUACCUAUAAGACUGGGAUAACUUCGGGAAACCGGAGCUAAUACCGGAUAAUAUAUUGAACCGCAUGGUUCAAUAGUGAAAGACGGUUUUGCUGUCACUUAUAGAUGGAUCCGCGCCGCAUUAGCUAGUUGGUAAGGUAACGGCUUACCAAGGCAACGAUGCGUAGCCGACCUGAGAGGGUGAUCGGCCACACGGGAACUGAGACGCGGUCCAGACUCCUACGGGAGGCAGCAGUAGGGAAUCUUCCGCAAUGGGCGAGAGCUUGACGGAGCAACGCGGCGUGAGUGAUGAAGGUCUUCGGAUCGUAAAACUCUGUUAUUAGGGAAGAACAAAUGUGUAAGUAACUAUGCACGUCUUGACGGUACCUAAUCAGAAAGCCACGGCUAACUACGUG